rnacentral:rRNA from 1 species
GAUGAACGCUGGCGGCGUGCUUAACACAUGCAAGUCGAACGGUGAAGGCGGAGCUUGCUCUGCUGGAUCAGUGGCGAACGGGUGAGUAACACGUGAGCAAUCUGCCCCUGACUCUGGGAUAAGCGCUGGAAACGGCGUCUAAUACUGGAUACGAGCUGCGAAGGCAUCUUCAGCAGCUGGAAAGAACUUCGGUCAGGGAUGAGCUCGCGGCCUAUCAGCUUGUUGGUGAGGUAACGGCUCACCAAGGCGUCGACGGGUAGCCGGCCUGAGAGGGUGACCGGCCACACUGGGACUGAGACACGGCCCAGACUCCUACGGGAGGCAGCAGGGGGGAAUAUUGCACAAUGGGCGAAAGCCUGAUGCAGCAACGCCGCGUGAGGGACGACGGCCUUCGGGUUGUAAACCUCUUUUAGCAGGGAAGAAGCGAAAGUGACGGUACCUGCAGAAAAAGCGCCGGCUAACUACGUG